AGAAAUGAGUCCCGUGCCUGUCUUGGGAAAUUUUCAGCCUCACGCUCACUCCCAGAGGGACAAAGGAUAAUGACUUCAUGUCGUCUGGCUGCUCACUCUCUGUGCUCCUCAAGCACAGGUUUUCUUUUGAAGGAAAAGCUGCCUCAUCUUUUUAAAGGACAUCACAAGGCUCUUGGUGACACGAUUCAGUUCUGGCAUCCACCACAAAGACAUUUGUGUGUCCUUCUGGGGCUUGGAGCCAGGCCUCCAGACUGCACAAACUUUCUGCCCAUCUGCCACAUGGAGGGCAGAGCUCCUGCUUCUGCGAGGCCUCUGGCUGAGAAACGAGUUCAGGAAUGAAGACGGCCUCUACUGCUGCCCAAGCCUCCACAGCAGCUAGAUUUAUUUUUAAUCCAGGUGUGGUGGCGUACACCUUUAAUCCCAGCACUCGGGAAGCAGAGGCAGGUGGAUAUCUGUGAGUUUGAGAUCAACCCGGUCUACAGCUGUCACACAGAGGUGUCUUUGAAGGCCGUAAGAGGGUGUCAGAUCCCCUGGAACUGGAAUUACAGGCAGCUGUGAGUUUCUUGUCUUGGGUGUUGGGACCAAACAAGUCAUUGCUAGGGGUCACAGGAACCAUUGGUGUUGAAAUCUGAGUGCUGUGCUGAGCUGGUCCUGCCCCUCACUGGACACUGCACCAGGAGACUUGGUCCCAUCACCCCAUGGGAGAGCUGCCUCCCAGCCUCCCACAUUCGGCAGAGAUGGUUUCACCUCUCUCUACAGGCCCGGGAGAGCUAGCCCCAAUGGUGUGGGCCUAGGAGAGCUGGCUCCCCACAUCACCUGAGGGGGUGGCCCCAGUGGCCUGGAGUGACCAGCUCAGCUACCAUCCAGACCCACAUCCUGGGCCUUGGGUAGUCCACCUCUAUGACCUGCUGGAGUGUGGGAAGGAACUGGUCCUGCGGAAGGAUAACCACAGGACCUCCACGACUUGGAGCAACAGCAGCAGGACAUCCAAGAAGACUUUUGGCGAGGGCCCAGUGAUGAUGGUGUGCCAGAGGCCUUGAAGCAGACCACUGACUCUUUACAAGGAACAUUUUGUGGGUGGAGCUGAUUGGACAAAGGGUACACUGUGUGUCACACAGCAGCUCCCGAUGCCACCAGGGUGAAUGAAGAAGCUGAGAUGGGCUCUUUUGUUUGUUUUGUUUUUAAUUAAUUUGGGGGGAAGAGCAUGCUGCAGUGGUGAGGGGUGGAUAUGGAGGGAUCGGGAGAUGAGUGGUAUUGGGGUGCAUGAUGUGAAAUUCCCAAAGUUUUUUAUAUCUUAAAAAACCUAAGAAACAACAAAAAAAUUCAUGAGAAAACCCCAACAAAUUUGGAAGUAUAAUAAAUGUUCAUUAGAUUUAAAAAUAAAAAAAGAUCUCUUUAAGACUAUUGUGUAAAUUCUUUAUCUCAGGAUUUGUAAGUUUAGCAAGUAUGGUUGAAAAUUUCUAAAAUCUACGACAGAAGUUAGAUUACAGUUUGUAACAAAAGUCUGAUAUUUAAGAAAGUCUAUACAUAGUUAAUCUUAAUCUUAAUUUCCUACAACAUACUUGUAUGUAUCUUGGAUUAAACUCUUAUUUAGGAAAAUUGCUUUUUAAAAUAGCAACCAUGUGGCUUGCCUCCAUCUUGGUUGAUGGACUGGCGGCCAUCUUUACUGAAGUUAAAAGAGUACACACCUCUAAAACCUUUUAGUCCUGUUAAGCUCUCUGCUUAUCAUUAUAUGUCCUUUUAGAUUAAGCAAGCAAUAAAGGCAGUUCUCCAAGA